rnacentral:sRNA from 1 species
AUAACAAGAGGAUGGAGCCAAAUUCAUCCUCACCACGCGGUCAAAGUCUUGGGAGGAUGCGGUCCAGGCGCGGUUAUACGCAGCCGCCGACAGUGAUACGGUUAAGGAUCGGACGCGUUGAGUUAGCAAGGCCUCGGCCUUGCAUUUUUUU